GCUUCAUUUAUCAUUAUUUAUUUAUUCCUAAAUAUGGAAUGACUGUGUGAUUAAGGCUUUGUUCGUUUAUGGAAGAUAUUUUCCAUGUUUUCUCUUGUUUUGGAGCAAAAAUUAAAAACACUGAAAGGAAAUCAUUUUCCUGGUCAUGGGAAAAUCCUCUACAAGUUUGGGAAAAUGGCUUCCUAUUUCAAGAUUGUGAAGUCAUUUUCGCAAAUGCUACUUUACUAUCAUUGGUCCUUGUUUUGGUUGUGGGUCCACUUAGGCUUUUGGAUCACUGAGGCUAGUGAUCAAUUAGUGUCUUUAGUUGUUUUUUUCUUUUUCUUUUCACUUAGUUUUUUGACAAUGAAUUUAAUUUUUUUCUGUACUUUUAUUUAAUUGAUAUCUUGUCAUGAAUUUAAUUAGUUUUUU
rnacentral:misc_RNA from 1 species